AUGAAGUUGCCUGUUCUGCUGUUAGUGCUGCUGUUGCUCUGGAUGCCUGCUUCCAGAGGUGAUGUUAUGAUGACCCAAACUCCAACCUCCCUGCCUGUUAGCCUUGGAGAUCAAACUUCCAUUUCUUGCAGGUCUAGUCAGAGCCUCCUACUAAGUAGUGGACACACAUAUUUGCAUUGGUACCUGCAGAAGCCAGGCCAGUUUCCACAGAUCCUGGUAUAUAAGGUUUCCAACAGAUUUUCUGGGGUUUCAGACAGGUUCAGUGGCAGUGGGUCAGGCACAGAUUUCACACUCAAGAUCAGCAGAGUGGAGCCUGAGGAUGUAGGAGUUUAUUACUGCCUCCAAACUUCACAUUAUCCUCCCACAUAUGGAGGAGGUACAAUACUGGAUUCUGCUGUCCUCAGGCAAAGGGGGAGAAUUCUGUCCAUCUUGGUUUUAACAUUUCAGGAUAAGUCAUUAAACUUUCUCAAAAGCAAAAGCCUAGUGUCUAAAUGUUUAGGGCAGUAUCAGUCACAGCAUGCUGAAAUAAAUGGCUAUUAUAUGAAUUUCAAUGUUGGAGCUGAAAAAAGACAAGAUAAGGAAGUAAACUGGAGACAGAACAGAAACAAGUGA